rnacentral:rRNA from 1 species
CCUACGGGGGGCAGCAGUGAGGAAUAUUGGUCAAUGGACGCAAGUCUGAACCAGCCAUGCCGCGUGCAGGAAGACGGCUCUAUGAAUUGUAAACUGCUUUUGUCCGAGGAUAAAUCCCGAUACGUGUAUCUGGUUGAAAGUAUCUUACGAAUAAGGAUCGGCUAACUCCGUGCCAGCAGCCGCGGUAAUACGGAGGAUGCGAGCGUUAUCCGGAUUUAUUGGGUUUAAAGGGUGCGUAGGCGGACUGUUAAGUCAGCGGUAAAAGCCCGGGGCGCAACCCCGGCGAGCCGUUGAAACUGGCUGUCUUGAGAUGGCGAGAGGUAUGCGGAAUGCGCAGUGUAGCGGUGAAAUGCUUAGAUAUUGCGCAGAACUCCGAUUGCGAAGGCAGCAUACCGGCGGCGAUCUGACGCUGAGGCACGAAAGCGUGGGUAUCGAACAGGAUUAGAUACCCCGGUAGUC